UUAAAAUUUCCAAUUGUAGCUCCAUUCAAUUCAACUUCAAAGCAUAAUCCAAUUUUUCUUACGAAUGCACAGAAAAUUUAAAUGGUUACUGUUUUGUAAUCGAGGUAUCAACCAUGUGUUGUGAUGCAACAAUGAAGGAAAUGGAAUCAAUUAGCUUCGAUUACCUCAUUGCCUAUUUCAAUCAAGUUUUAGAUCAUGCCUAAAUCAAAAAAAGUUAUUCGAAGACAGCACACCAAUGGAACAUCAAACAGCUACAAUAAUCGCAAUGAUACGAAAUCCGAACAGUCACAAGUUAAAAAAAAUGGGAAUAAACUAUAUCAGUUUAUUCCCAAGUGGCUCUAUGUGGUCUGCGUGAGCUCACUGUUUGCUUUUGCGAUAAUGUAUUCUAAAAAAACACAGCAAAUAGUCAAGCAUCCAGAAUCACCAUCUCGGCUUAUACCACCAAACCCACAACGAACGGACACUAAAGUAAUCCCAUCAUAUACAGCAUUGCACAUUUUUAAAAGUGCUGCAGUAUGCUCUGAUUCGGAAGUCUGUAGCCGUGUAGGCAGGUAAGUACAUAUAGUAAAAUAUUAUGCAAAUCAUAAACAAACAUACGUUUGAUAUCAUUUUGUAAAACAUGUACACUCAACUCUAUUUUUACGCGAUUUUUUUUCGCCUCUCGUUUUGAUCAUGUAAUUCCAAAUUGAGACAAAAUGCAUACAACUUGUUCCAAAAAAUCACAACUAAAAGUAAGUGGUUGUAUCCAAGACACGACCUUAGAUUUGACGUAGGAUUACGCCCAACUAACAUUUUCAGCUUUAUAAGCCAUCUUUUCCAGCAAUGUGCUGCAAAGUAGCUGAUCAUAGAUAUAAUACUAGAAACGCGGUUGAAAUAAGAACACCACAUUUCUUGACUUGUGCUUCACAAAAUUCAUUAUAUUAUAAAGGAAUAAAUGUAUUCAAUUCGAUGCCUAGACAUAUCAAACAUUUAGCAACACUUACAGAAUUUAAGAGACACUGCAUUUCACACGUUAAAAUCGAUUUUUUUUUUUAUGAAUUGACAAAUUAUGUAUCUUGACGAAGUUAUCUCUAACGGAUUAUUUUAUAUGGAUAGCUGUCAUAACGACUUUUUAAUAAUUAUUGUAGCACUGCAAAAACUAUUUC